rnacentral:pre_miRNA from 1 species
CUGUACCAUUCAUCCCGAGAUGUAUUCAACGCCUUAUUUUUAAUUAUGCCGAAGUUUGAUUUAUUAAAAAGAAGGCAUUGAAUAUCUACCGGGAUGAAAUGGUACAGG